CUGUGCCUCUUUAAGAGUUGAUUUGUAGCGAGCACUCAGGAUCUCUCUGUAGGCAUUGUGGUCCAGUGUGGCUAGAGAGCAGGUAUUAAGCCGCCUGUCGUCCAGACCUCGUCAGCUGAAUAGCCUGUCGUGCUAAAGUUCACCACAGACAAGGCAGUGGUUGUUUACCCUGAGGUGCAGUCAGAGCUGGGUUGACUACUUACUGCAUUGUUUAAAGUAAAUAUCAUCUGUCAGGUAUUUAGCAGGUGAUCCUGCAGGUUUGACCUUUUCAAGUCACUUAUUAAGACUGCAAUUUAGUCUUAAAACCUGUCGCACUACCAGACAACCUCUGGAUUAAUAACAGUUGGAGUUCCCCUCUAAUUGUCAGAACUGGAAAUCUGCUGAAAAUCAUCCUCAAAAUAUACCAGUGUGUCCCCAGACUGAUUAAACAGAAAUGGCCUUCCCUUUUA